CCCUUAGAUGUUCUGGGCCGCACGCGUGCUACACUGACCGGCGCAACAAGUUUCUUUCCUUGGCUCGAUAGGCCUGGGUAAUCUUUGAACGCCGGUCGUGAUGGGGAUAGAUCCUUGCAAUUUUUGAUCUUCAACGAGGAAUUCCUAGUAAAUGCGAGUCAUCAUCUCGCGUUGAUUACGUCCCUGCCCUUUGUACACACCGCCCGUCGCUUCUACCGAUUGAGUGUUCCGGUGAAUUAUUCUGAUCACUUCAUGUGAAAAGUUUUGUAAACCUUAACACUUAGAGGAAGGAGAAGUCGUAACA
rnacentral:rRNA from 1 species